rnacentral:lncRNA from 1 species
CGGGACUCGGCCGGGUCCACCUGCCCGCGCCUCAGGUGUGACGCGGCGGGUGGCGGGAGAAUACAAAAGAGAUCCCUCAGCCUGCGCUUGUUCAUCGCAUCUGAUGCUACUUCUUGGGGAAGAUGAUAUUGGACAAAUCCAUGAUUAGAGCCUUUGUAAUGUAAACCAUCCCUACUGUGCUGGAAUUGAUUACACACAUUUGGUGAAGGAUGAUUUGAAUGGUCCUUUCAAUGGCUGCCCACUCUGUCCUGGCCUCGAAGCGAAGCUAUCAGCAGGAAAGCAUGUGCAUCAGCACGUCUCAAGGAAGCCUGCCGGUUGCUCAGUUCUCACAGUGCUGUACAGGGCAGUCCCG